GUGCUUUGCUUAAAUUUCUCAGCCCUCAGGCUCUUCCUAAGGAUACCUCCACUGAUGAAGGUAGAGUGAAUUUCUCUCACUGAGCUGAGCUGUUAAUAGUGACCUCUUUCAAUAUGCUAACAGUGAAAUGGUAAAACGUACUUCACAGGUAAUUUCAGAUUUUUUUUUUUCAAUUACUUUCCCAGCAACACCAUCAACUUCAUCCUCAACAUCAACAGAUGCAUCACUUCUCAGUGCUGAUGUUUCCUCUAUAGCACAAGCUACAACGUCAAUACCAUCUCUCACAGUGGAAGACACUGCAUCCAGAACAGAAAUUGAGUCUGCACCACUUCCCAACACUGAGGUUUCCUCUACAGCUCAAGUGCAGAUAAAGAUCUGGAAUAAAAUCGAACCCAUUCUUGAAUCCCACUUUUGCACCUUCGAGAAUCUGUCAGAAUUCCAGCAACCGCGUGAUUUGAGACGAACCCUGCACAUCAGCCGUACCUAAACGAAGGAACUUGUGACAUACGAAGACAUUAAUCCUGAAUCUACAGUAAAAGAAACCAUCCGACCCUGCCUCUACGCAUUCAUCACUUGCGUUCAUCUGACAUUUUGACGUGCGAUGAUAUUCCCCUUUGAACAGGAUCAGAGACUCACCUGAGAGAACCUGCAACUCAACAACUGUUGUAACAUCGGCAACUCAACACUGAAUAAACAAAAAUCAAAAUAUUAGAGAGGCA
ensembl:lncRNA